CUUGAACUAGGCAAAAUGGCACCGUAACUUCGGGAGAAGGUGCACCGCUUUUGAUGAUGGGAUUUACUCCCUAAGCUGAGGGCGGUCGAAGAUACCAGGCCCCUGCAACUGUUUAUUAAAAACACAGCACUCUGCAAACACGUAAGUGGAGGUAUAGGGUGUGACGCCUGCCCGGUGCCGGAAGGUUAAUUGAUGGGAUUAGCGCAAGCGAAGCUCUUGAUCGAAGCCCCGGUAAACGGCGGCCGUAACAAUAACGGUCCUAAGGUAGCGAAAUUCCUUGUCGGGUAAGUUCCGACCUGCACGAAUGGCGUAAUGAUGGGGGCGCCGUCUCCACCCGAGACUCAGUGAAAUUGAAAUCGCGGUUAAGAUGCCGUGUACCCGCGGCUAGACGGAAAGACCCCGUGAACCUUUACUAUAGCUUUGCACUGAACUUUGAACCUAUCUGUGUAGGAUAGGUGGGAGGCUUUGAAGUCGAGACGCUAGUUUCGAUGGAGCCGUCCUUGAAAUACCACCCUGGUAUGUUUGAGGUUCUAACGUCGGCCCCUUAUCGGGGCUACGGACAGUGUAUGGUGGGUAGUUUGACUGGGGCGGUCUCCUCCCAAAGAGUAACGGAGGAGCACGAAGGUGUGCUAAUCAUGGUCGGAAAUCAUGAGGUUAGUGUAAAGGCAAAAGCACGCUUGGCUGCGAGACAGACAUGUCGAGCAGGUACGAAAGUAGGUCUUAGUGAUCCGGUGGUUCUGUAUGGAAGGGCCAUCGCUCAACGGAUAAAAGGUACUCCGGGGAUAACAGGCUGAUACCGCCCAAGAGUUCACAUCGACGGCGGUGUUUGGCACCUCGAUGUCGGCUCAUCACAUCCUGGAGCUGAAGCCGGUCCCAAGGGUAUGGCUGUUCGCCAUUUAAAGUGGUACGCGAGCUGGGUUUAGAACGUCGUGAGACAGUUCGGUCCCUAUCUGCCGUGGGCGAUGGAGAUUUGAGAAGAGUUGUUCCUAGUACGAGAGGACCGGAAUGAACGAACCUCUGGUGUUCGGGUUGUCAUGCCAAUGGCAUUGCCCGGUAGCUGCGUUCGGACGGGAUAACCGCUGAAAGCAUCUAAGCGGGAAGCCUCCUUCAAGAUGAGAUCUCCCUGGGACUUUAAGUCCCCUAAAGAGCCGUUGAAGACUACGACGUUGAUAGGUUGGGUGUGGAAGCGCAGCGAUGCGUUGAGCUAACCAAUACUAAUUGCUCGUGCGGCUUGACCG
rnacentral:rRNA from 1 species